rnacentral:tRNA from 1 species
AGUAAAGUGUCUGAAAAAGAGUAAUUUUGAUAGAAUUAAAAAUGUAGAAUUUAUUCUACCCUUACUA